rnacentral:rRNA from 1 species
AAAUGACUCUCGGCAACGGAUAUCCUGGCUCUCGCAUCGAUGAAGAACGCAGCGAAAUGCGAUACUUGGUGUGAAUUGCAGAAUCCCGUGAACCAUCGAGUCUUUGAACGCAAGUUGCGCUCGAAGCCAUUAGGCUGAGGGCACGUCUGCCUGGGUGUCACGC